GUGAAGAGGUGAUGGGGUGGAUAGAAGACAGUGAAGAGGUGAUGGGGUGGAUAGAAGACAGUGAAGAGAGGUGAUGGGGUGGAUAGAAGACAGUGAAGAGGUGAUGGGGUGGAUAGAAGACAGUAGAGAGUUGAUGGGGUGGAUAGAAGACAGUAGAGAGGUGAUGGGGUGGAUAGAAGACAGUAGAGAGGUGAUGGGGUGGAUAGAAGACAGUAGAGAGGUGAUGGGGUGGAUAGAAGACAGUAGAGAGGUGAUGGGGUGGAUAGAAGACAGUAUAAAGAGGUGAUGGGGUGGAUAGAAGACAGUGUAGAGAGGUGAUGGGGUGGAUAGAAGACAGUGUAGAG
ensembl:lncRNA